rnacentral:lncRNA from 1 species
CAUCUGAUUUUUACUUUAACUAAAAAAUUCUUAUGUCUGGCUUGUUAAAGUUAGCUUUCUAUUGUAGACAAUGUAUAAAAAUCUAGAAAGAGAUAAAUCUCAACUUGAAGAUGAAAUACUACUUUUAGAGAAGAAACUAGAAGAAGAGAGAGCUAAGCAUUAUGAACAAGAUGAAUUGAUGACAGACAUUUUAAAAACGAUACAAUCUCUAGAAAGUGCAUCCGAGUAUGUCAAGAUACAACUCGCUGAAGCAAAAACUAACAUCAGUAUAUUUCAAAUGAAUGAAAAACACCUUAAGGAAGUAAUACAAGAUACCCUGAAUGAAAAUUAUCAACUUGAGGAAAGCCUGAAGGAGCUUUUAGAGGAAUUUGAAAAAACGAAAGAACAAACUGACGAACUGAAUAAUCAGAAAGCAAUAUGUGGAAGAUCCAAAGUACAGGCAGAGCAAGUCCUAAAUGAAAAAGAAAAUGAGAUCAAGUCUCUGAUGGAGAGCCUGAUGAAGACCAAAGUUUGGACUUGCUUGUUUGGAGACUAUAUAACAGAUGAUGAUGGGCCAGUAUCCUCAAAAUUGGAACUGAGAAAGAAUGAAACCCAAGGUGACCCAGUGAACUCAACUCUGCCCAACUCUGUUCCUGCUGAAUCAGAGGGAGCUGGCCCUGGCUCCAUCCCUUCACCGGUUCCCCAGGAUAGAGACCCCAGAGGCCCUCCCAUUGCAGAAGAUCCAAGAAGUCCCGUUAUGAGUAGGCCACCCCUAUCCCCACCGCCUACUCUGGGAAACAUCCAUGCUGGUCCUCCAGAUUCUGUUACAUCAAGGGACUUUGCUGGCCCACCUUUCCCGCCGUACCCAGGUAGGCUUUUUUUUUUUUUUUUUAUAAGUCCAAGUAUGUGUCAAUAUUCAUCUGUGCGUUUCUUA